rnacentral:antisense_RNA from 1 species
CUGAACACAAAAUGGCGACACGUGGUUAGCAUUCGUCGCCAACGAGAAAUUGGGGUCGGCCCGAAAGCUCUAGAAUGCACCCCCCUUCUUCCCCGGGGCCUUCCACCUCCGCGAGUUUUAUGACUUAAAAAACCCCACAGGCUGGUCUGAAGAGGAAGACAAACAUAAAGAUGAAGUGCUUAAUUCAAGGUCACACAAUGUCGGGGAUGGACCUCCAGAUUUCCUUACUGACCUGCAUUAUCUUGUGGAUACCUGAGUGAAUUCCACACCACCCAUUUUAUAGAUGAAACCACUGAGACAUGGAGCAACUGACUGAGUAGUCACUGCCCCACCCCUGCCUGGAGCCUCACACAUGACUCGUCUCCUCUCAGUGACCACAGGUUGGUUGAGGGGUUUAACAAGGCUAAGAAGGUGAGACGUGGUCUUGUAACACAGUGGUUAAGAAUGUGACUUUGGAGCCAGCCUGCUAGGGGCUGAAUUCUGACUCAGCCAUUUACUAACUGUGUGACCUUAGGUCACAGAAUUUUCCACACUCCUUGACGGAGGUGCUUAACCCUUAUCCAUCAGCAUUCU